rnacentral:rRNA from 1 species
GAUUCCCCUAGUAACUGCGAGUGAAGCGGGAAAAGCUCAAAUUUAAAAUCUGGCGGUCUUUGGCCGUCCGAGUUGUAGUCUGGAGAAGCGUCUUCCGCGCUGGACCGUGUAUAAGUCUCUUGGAACAGAGCGUCAUAGAGGGUGAGAAUCCCGUCUUUGACACGGACUACCAGUGCUUUGUGAUGCGCUCUCAAAGAGUCGAGUUGUUUGGGAAUGCAGCUCAAAAUGGGUGGUGAAUUCCAUCUAAAGCUAAAUAUUGGCGAGAGACCGAUAGCGAACAAGUACCGUGAGGGAAAGAUGAAAAGCACUUUGGAAAGAGAGUUAAACAGUACGUGAAAUUGCUGAAAGGGAAACGCUUGAAGUCAGUCGCGUUGUCCGGGACUCAGCCUUGCUUCGGCUUGGUGCACUUUCCGGAUGACGGGCCAGCAUCGAUUUUGACCGCCGGAAAAGGGCUGGAGGAAUGUGGCACCUUCGGGUGUGUUAUAGCCUCCAGUCGCAUACGGCGGUUGGGAUCGAGGAACGCAGCACGCCUUAUGGCGGGGGGUUUACCCUACCUUCGUGCUUAGGAUGCUGGCAUAAUGGCUUUAAACGACCCGUCUGGAAACACGG